UUUUUUUUUUUUUUCCAAUGGGAACGUGACGUCUUGUUUUUAAACACAAGUAGUUAAAUGCUAAGAUAAGGAAAAGAAAACAUAACAGUAGAAGAAAAAUAUGUAUAAUACCAAACAGUGGAAGAUAAACAUUACCAAUAUCCAUUGACAAAUAAAAUUUGAUUUUAAAAAUAGAAAAUGAUAGAAUAGUUUAUUAGCAACAAUAGAUUCACGGUAAUUAAAAAACGUCUGUUUAAAAAAAAAAUUGCAUGUUAG
rnacentral:lncRNA from 1 species